AUUUUUUCAUUUGUUUUACUGGUGUUCUUAUAUGUAAUCAUAGACCAGGAGGACAAUACUUGCACUGCCAAACUCUGAACAUCGAUGACUUCCAGUUCACCGUCCUUUGGAACAAAAGAUGUUUUGCCUCAAAGAUGGUCAAUGACUUAGUGAAUCACUUCAGUGAGAAAGAUCAGCUUUUGCCAAAAGGUCGUGUUUGGGUUUCAGUUCAAGAUUCAAAAAGAUUGAAAUGCUGUGAUAGCAGACAAAGAUGUUUAAAGGAGUAGUUGUUGUUGACAUACCAUCAGAGGUAUUCUUUAAAUUUAGAAUAGUAUUUGGCAUGUUUCUCAUUGACUAUAAAUCAUGAUGUUUAACCUUAACCUCUUGUGUGAGUUUAUUGAUCUUAAGCAAAGUUUUUGUAGCAUUUCUCAAGUUUCGAUUUCCUCGCCCAUAUUUCCCAUCAUUUAAAUUGCUGCCAGCUUAUUAUUGUUAGGGUUAAACUUGCUACUAAAAGUAUGUAAGUUUUUCGUUUUGGAUUGAAUUCAUUUAUUUUUCCUUUCUUUUCUGAGACAAAGAGAAAAACUGAAAUUUUAUCAGGCAGGAAAAUUUUUUGGCUGGAAAGAAAUUUGCCAUGGCCAGGUGCAGGGUUUUAAUAAGCAACAUAUGCCAGUUAUGAAAACGAUGGUUAAUCCUCCACUGGUAGAUAGGUUACUUGUAAGCUUCGAGUCCUCAAUCAUGUAGAAUUGAACCAUGCUCCAAGAACCUCAUCUGCUUACCAGUUUGCUACUUUACUCAAAGAACUGAUUAUUUGUACAUAUGCUGCUAAGGCUUGGGAUUUUUUUUUGCAGGAGGACUUCGCACUUUUAUAGUGGCCUACUUUUGCUUCAAGCGUUCUUCAGCUUCAUAAGUAAAAAAUUAACAGGAAAAAAUAAAGAAUUGAUGUUAAAAUAAAAUUUGAACAAUGAAUAAAAUUGAGGUAUCAAAUUUUGAGACUGCAAUACAGUGGAUACACAGUGAUGGCCAAUGGAGCUCUUGAUUUGCAAUUGGUGUGGUUCAAGAAUACAAAGAUGAUGAUUGUUUUCGACCCCCUUGACCGGGCAGAAGCCAUGGAACAUCCUUGGCGAGACCCUCCAAUCUUUCUUGCUAAGUGCCAGCUUUCUUGGAAAGGUUUGGUGAAUUUCAGUAUUGUGACUGUGUAUGUGGAAGGGUUUUUACCAUCACCAGUGGGAUUAUGGGCGGAGCAGUUACGGUACAACUGCCGUGGGAUGGGAUACUGGGAACAAAGAAUGUAUUAAGAAAUGCGAGGUAAGAAAAGUCUCUUUGUAAGAGAGGCUGGAGCUAAUAAUAAGUGAAGUUGAUAAAUAAUUGGUGUGUAGCAUUGCAGCGUAUAUGAGCAUACUGCAGAAGCUAAGGGCUCAUUAUGGGAUUGCUUCUAUAGAAAACACUUCUUCAGAUAAGUGCUCUUACUAGAAAAACGUUGAAAUUUUUGUAAAAAGUUCAAGCGCUUCAUUCAAAUGCUUUUGUUAAAAAUCAUAGCAAGUGUUUCUUCAAAAA